rnacentral:rRNA from 1 species
CCACGCACACACGCGCGGCAUAUCAAUAAGCGGAGGAAAAGAAACUAACAAGGAUUCCCUUAGUAACGGCGAGUGAAGCGGGAAGAGCUCAAAUUUGAAAUCUUCAAGGUUUUACCUUGACGAAUUGUAGUUUAAAGAAGUGUUUUCUGUUGAAGUUUUGGUAAAAGUUCUUUGGAAUAGGACAUCAUAGAGGGUGAGAAUCCCGUAUUUGACCAUUAUUUUCAGCUGUGUGAUAUACUUUCAAAGAGUCGGAUUGUUUGGGAAUGCAGUCCAAAAUGGGUGGUAAAUUUCAUCUAAAGCUAAAUAUUGGCGAGAGACCGAUAGCGAACAAGUACCGUGAGGGAAAGAUGAAAAGAACUUUGAAAAGAGAGUUAAACAGUACGUGAAAUUGUCAAAAGGGAAGCGUUUGACACCAGUGUUGUUUUCUCGAAAAUCAAUUAAAAAAAGUUGGAUUUUGUGUUGUAUUGACCUUAACAGCUUUCUUCACUCUUUUCCUGCUUUUUUUAAUGCACUUUUCGUUUAACAAGUCAACAUCAGUUUCUUUUGUUGUAAAAAGGUCAUUGGAAGGUGGCUUUCUUUUCGGAGAAAGUGUUUAUAGCCUUUGAUCCCUGCAAUCGGAGAGACUGAGGUCUGCAGCGUAGAUCCUUCGGGGUUAGAUACAUUUGUGCUAAGUUAUAGCUUUUUAUAGACAACUUGUUGACUAUAUUUAGUCUUGUAGCUUACUCGCUUAUGCUAUUUUACCUACGCUUAGGAUGUUGAUAGUCACAGCGUGUAC